AAGAGUGAGAGAGAGAAAGAAAGAAAGAAAGAAAGGAGUGUGAGGGACUCUCUAUAAAAGAUUUACACGCCCUUGAUCUUAUUUGAUCGAGUCGGCCCGGCCCUGCCCUGCCCUGCCCUGUCCGGCUCAGGCCCGGCUCCAGGCCCAGGCUCCAGGCCCAGGCCUCCCGACUCGAAGUGAUGAUAACCCCGAGCUCCCGAGCUGCCCCUCCGGCAGCCAUGAGUAUCGGGAGGGAACCCGUCACCGCUCCCCGCCGGGCGGGUGGGGGGGGGCGGGCGGGUCGGUUGGUUGGUUGGUUGGUGGGUUCAGGGCCUCUCCGGGGGCCGCGGUGUCCGCAGAUAUGAUGAACCGAUCAGAUAGACUAUGGCCGACCUCAGCCGCCGGUCACUGAGUACUGAGGCGAUUCUGAUCUGA